AACGAACGCUGGCGGCAUGCCUAACACAUGCAAGUCGAACGAGAUCUUCGGGUCUAGUGGCGCACGGGUGCGUAACGCGUGGGAAUCUGCCCUUUGGUUCGGAAUAACAGUUGGAAACGACUGCUAAUACCGGAUGAUGACGAAAGUCCAAAGAUUUAUCGCCAGAGGAUGAGCCCGCGUAGGAUUAGCUAGUUGGUGUGGUAAAGGCGCACCAAGGCGACGAUCCUUAGCUGGUCUGAGAGGAGGAUCAGCCACACUGGGACUGAGACACGGCCCAGACUCCUACGGGAGGCAGCAGUGGGGAAUAUUGGACUAGGGGCAAAAGCCUGAUCCAGCAAUGCCGCGUGAGUGAUGAAGGCCUUAGGGUUGUAAAGCUCUUUUACCCGGGAUGAUAAUGACAGUACGGGGAGAAUAAGCUCCGGCUAACUCCGUGCCAGCCGCCGCAGUAA
rnacentral:rRNA from 1 species